rnacentral:rRNA from 1 species
AACGAACGCUGGCGGCAGGCUUAACACAUGCAAGUCGAACGCAUCCUUCGGGGUGAGUGGCAGACGGGUGAGUAACGCGUGGGAACGUGCCCUUCAGUUCGGGACAACCCAGGGAAACUUGGGCUAAUACCGGAUACGUGCGAGAGCAGAAAGAUUUAUCGCUGAAGGAUCGGCCCGCGUCUGAUUAGCUAGUUGGUGGGGUAAUGGCCCACCAAGGCGACGAUCAGUAGCUGGUAUGAGAGGAUGAUCAGCCACAUUGGGACUGAGACACGGCCCAAACUCCUACGGGAGGCAGCAGUGGGGAAUAUUGGACAAUGGGCGCAAGCCUGAUCCAGCCAUGCCGCGUGAGUGAUGAAGGCCUUAGGGUUGUAAAGCUCUUUCGUCCGGGACGAUAAUGACGGUACCGGAAGAAGAAGCCCCGGCUAACUUCGUGCCAGCAGCCGCCGUAA